GAUGAACGCUGGCGGCGUGCCUAAUACAUGCAAGUCGAGCGAACAGACGAGGAGCUUGCUCCCCUGACGUUAGCGGCGGACGGGUGAGUAACACGUGGAUAACCUACCUAUAAGACUGGGAUAACUUCGGGAAACCGGAGCUAAUACCGGAUAAUAUAUUGAACCGCAUGGUUCAAUAGUGAAAGACGGUUUUGCUGUCACUUAUAGAUGGAUCCGCGCCGCAUUAGCUAGUUGGUAAGGUAACGGCUUACCAAGGCAACGAUGCGUAGCCGACCUGAGAGGGUGAUCGGCCACACUGGAACUGAGACACGGUCCAGACUCCUACGGGAGGCAGCAGUAGGGAAUCUUCCGCAAUGGGCGAAAGCUUGACGGAGCAACGCCGCGUGAGUGAUGAAGGUCUUCGGAUCGUAAAACUCUGUUAUUAGGGAAGAACAAAUGUGUAAGUAACUAUGCACGUCUUGACGGUACCUAAUCAGAAAGCCACGGCUAACUACGUG
rnacentral:rRNA from 1 species